GUUUAGGCAACCUGCAUGGGAAUGGAAAGCCAUUUAGUGAAAAUUGAAAACAAAUGGAUAGACAAUUGGUUAUGGACAAAACGGCCAUCAGCACAAAAUUAUUACUGGAUAGGUUUAACAGACAUAGAGAAUGAAGGAAACUUUACCUGGAACAUCGACAAUACUGUUGCAAGUUACACACAAUGGGCCUCAGGAUAUGGCAAAAUUGCAGAAACUUAUGAUGUAGUAGCCUGGGGAUGGAAAGAUGGAUGGUUCGAUUAUCCCCCGUCGUACAAAUAAGGAUAUAUAUGCCAAAGAAAUUAUUGUCAGAGAAAAAAUCAAGACAACAACGUCAUUACCAGCAGAACCGGCUGGUUGAGAUUUGGCAAUGAAUGUUAUUUCUUUGGAACAAAUGGAGUAGACUGGUUUACGGCUGACGAUGAUUGCAGACAAAGGGGAAGUCAUUUAGCAAAGAUGUACAACAAUACAUUAGAUGAAUGGCUGAUGACGAAAAAACCAUCAGCCCAAUCGUAUUACUGGAUUGGACUAACAGACAUGACAAAUGAAGGACAAUUCAGAUGGACCGUCGAUAAUACUUCCCUUACAUUUUCAAACUGGGCGUCAGCCUAUGGCACAGCGAAGGGGUCGCCAGACAGAUCAGACGUUGUAGCAUGGGGUUGGAGUUCUGGAUGGUUUGAUUAUCCAGCUACAGAUAAAUAUGGAUUUGUUUGUCAAAGCAGGACCUGUGAUGAUGCAAAUUAACAAAGAUCGAAGAAGACAGUUGAAUUACAGUAACUAAAAUUGUGUUGUUGAGUAGUUUGUUAUUAACACUACACAUGUUUUACCAUGUGCGCUCAAAACAAACAAAUCAGAAAGGGUAAUGUUUAAAAUCGAAGACAUCCUUACCUAACAGAGCAUCCUUAAUUUUUAGUUGGUUUCCAUUCGUUUGAUGUGUUUGACCGGUACCUAUACAACACGACAAGCACUUAAUCGCCCCAGGUCGAAAAAAAGGAUGAAUGAGACUAAGCAAAAUCUGCCAUCAACAUCUUAUUCUCCAUGUAACAAACAUAUUAAGAUAUGACAUAAGACAUCGAAUAACGAGGUUCUUGAAUCGGGGCAGGCACAUGAAUUAAGAAUAAACUCAUCAUAGAUACCAGGAUUAAAAUUGCGCCAGACGCGCGUUUCGUCUACAAAAGACUCAUCAGUGACGCUCGAAUCAAAAAAAGUUGAAAAGGCCAAAUAAAGUACGAAGUUGAAGAGCAUUGAGGACCAAAAAUUCCUAAAAGUUUUUGCCAAAUACAGCUAAGGUAAUCCAUUCCUGAGGUAGAAAAGCCUUAGUAUUUCAAAAAUUCAAAGUUUUAUAAUCAGUUAAUUUAUAAUUAUGACCAUAUCAAUGAUAAAUCAUGUCAAAAGAGAAGUGCUGACUUCUGGGCUACUAAACGGGUUAAACUAGUUUCUUUAGAUCACACUCCUACCCAUUUUAAUCUCGAUAAGAAAACUAACUGAAGGUACACAAG